GAUGAACGCUGGCGGCGUGCCUAAUACAUGCAAGUCGAGCGAACAGACGAGGAGCUUGCUCCUUUGACGUUAGCGGCGGACGGGUGAGUAACACGUGGAUAACCUACCUAUAAGACUGGGAUAACUUCGGGAAACCGGAGCUAAUACCGGAUAACAUGUUGAACCGCAUGGUCCAAAAGUGAAAGACGGUCUUGCUGUCACUUAUAGAUGGAUCCGCGCCGCAUUAGCUAGUUGGUAAGGUAACGGCUUACCAAGGCAACGAUGCGUAGCCGACCUGAGAGGGUGAUCGGCCACACUGGAACUGAGACACGGUCCAGACUCCUACGGGAGGCAGCAGUAGGGAAUCUUCCGCAAUGGGCGAAAGCCUGACGGAGCAACGCCGCGUGAGUGAAGAAGGUCUUCGGAUCGUAAAACUCUGUUAUUAGGGAAGAACAAAUGUGUAAGUAACUAUGCACGUCUUGACGGUACCUAAUCAGAAAGCCACGGCUAACUACGUG
rnacentral:rRNA from 1 species